rnacentral:rRNA from 1 species
CCGGCGACCGGCGCACGGGUGAGUAACACGUAUGCAACCUGGCCGUGACAGAUGGAUAACCGGGAGAAAUCCCGCCUAAUACAACAUAAUGCCGGGAGGGGACAUCCCCUGCCGGCCAAAGGGGGCGACCCCGGUCACGGAUGGGCAUGCGGCGCAUUAGCUAGUCGGCGGGGUAACGGCCCACCGAGGCGACGAUGCGUAGGGGUUCUGAGAGGAAGGUCCCCCACACUGGUACUGAGACACGGACCAGACUCCUACGGAAGGCAGCAG